AAUUAGUUAUAGCACCAUGUGAAAUCUGUAACCAGAAUGUUGUAUUUUCUUCAGCAGUUCAAGAUUUUCUGGGUUCAGUGUGAAUGACUGCACAGAAAACUAAAUUUUAAGACAUCGAAAAGCAAAAUGCAGAGGUAUCAGGCUGGAGUAGCAGCAAAGAAAACGUGCAGCCCCCUGCCAUCAAGUUUUUGAAAAUGCAAGUCUCAAAGUCUUUGAGCAUGAACCUGCAGGGCUGCAUGGAAGGAAUGCACAGAGGGCCCCGAGGACAAGAAGAAUUACUCUCAAGGGAAGACUAAAUGCCAUCCCAACCAUUCUCUGCUGACAGAACCAGAGAUCAGUGCUCCCAGCUUGAGGGUCUAGAAAUUAAGUGAUUGAUUACACAUACACUGUUGUCAUAAAAUAAACGUCUGGGUUAAAACAUAUCUACACGCAAACACACAC